ACCCUUCUGUAUCCAUGCUGAGAUUUCAUCACACACCAUACCACAAGGUCUGAUGAGACUCCCAAAAUAAGUCAAGCG
rnacentral:pre_miRNA from 1 species